rnacentral:rRNA from 1 species
CCUACGGGCGGCAGCAGUGGGGAAUAUUGGACAAUGGGGGGAACCCUGAUCCAGCCAUGCCGCGUGUGUGAAGAACGCCCUCGGGUUGGAAAGCACUUUCAGUGAGGAAGAACGCCUGGUGGUUAAUACCCAUCAGGAAAGACAUCACUCACAGAAGAAGCACCGGCUAACUCCGUGCCAGCAGCCGCGGUAAUACGGAGGGUGCGAGCGUUAAUCGGAAUUACUGGGCGUAAAGCGCGCGUAGGUGGCUUGAUAAGCCGGUUGUGAAAGCCCCGGGCUCAACCUGGGAACGGCAUCCGGAACUGUCAAGCUAGAGUGCAGGAGAGGAAGGUAGAAUUCCCGGUGUAGCGGUGAAAUGCGUAGAGAUCGGGAGGAAUACCAGUGGCGAAGGCGGCCUUCUGGACUGACACUGACACUGAGGUGCGAAAGCGUGGGUAGCAAACAGGAUUAGAUACCCCUGUAGUC